rnacentral:rRNA from 1 species
GACGAACGCUGGCGGCGCGCCUAACACAUGCAAGUCGAACGGAGCUGAGAGAAGCUUGCUUUUCUUAGCUUAGUGGCGAACGGGUGAGUAACGCGUGAGUAACCUGCCCUGGAGUGGGGGACAACAGUUGGAAACGACUGCUAAUACCGCAUAAGCCCACGAUCCGGCAUCGGAUUGAGGGAAAAGGAUUUAUUCGCUUCAGGAUGGACUCGCGUCCAAUUAGCUAGUUGGUGAGGUAACGGCCCACCAAGGCGACGAUUGGUAGCCGGACUGAGAGGUUGAACGGCCACAUUGGGACUGAGACACGGCCCAGACUCCUACGGGAGGCAGCAGUGGGGGAUAUUGCACAAGGGGGGAAACCCUGAUGCAGCGACGCCGCGUGGAGGAAGAAGGUGUUCGGAUUGUAAACUCCUGUCGUUAGGGACGAUAAUGACGGUACCUAACAAGAAAGCACCGGCUAACUACGUG